GACGAACGCUGGCGGCGUGCUUAACACAUGCAAGUCGAACGGAAAGGCCCUGCUUUUGUGGGGUGCUCGAGUGGCGAACGGGUGAGUAACACGUGAGUAACCUGCCCUUGACUUUGGGAUAACUUCAGGAAACUGGGGCUAAUACCGGAUAGGAGCUCCUGCUGCGUGGUGGGGGUUGGAAAGUUUCGGCGGUUGGGGAUGGACUCGCGGCUUAUCAGCUUGUUGGUGGGGUAGUGGCUUACCAAGGCUUUGACGGGUAGCCGGCCUGAGAGGGUGACCGGCAACAUUGGGACUGAGAUACGGCCCAGACUCCUACGGGAGGCAGCAGUGGGGAAUAUUGCACAAUGGGCGGAAGCCUGAUGCAGCAACGCCGCGUGCGGGAUGACGGCCUUCGGGUUGUAAACCGCUUUCGCCUGUGACGAAGCGUGAGUGACGGUAAUGGGUAAAGAAGCACCGGCUAACUACGUG
rnacentral:rRNA from 1 species